GAUUAUACAGCAACAAGGAAGUUGGCAACAAUAAUUUAAAGGGUUGGUCCUUAUCUCCAGUGUUACAAUGCUACGUCAGUGCACUUGGUAGAACGGAUAAAGCCGUGCUUGGGAUGGUUUACGACACAUUUGGAUUUUAAGCUCUGUAGAAUUCAAUUAAAUGAUGAAAGAAAAUGCAGGACACGGAUCGCAAUUCAACGGGAACGUGGAAGAAUCACAAAGAUAUUGCUGCACAAUCAUCAAAGAGUUUUGUUGGCCUGGAGCACCAAACUCAGCAAAUGAACCAAGUUCCAAACCAACAUCAGCAUGUUCACAGAGUGGCAUCGAAAGAUCUGGAGGAAGUUUUUAGGACAACAACAAAUUCUUGACUUAAACAAGCCACACUGGAUUUGAUCUCCAUGGAAUGCUCAACAGCUUAUACACAUGGAGCGGCGUGAGCAUGGUCGAUGCCUGGAGGGGACCACUGGAAUGAUAUCAUGUUCCAGUUAAACUUUAAGGGACCUUUUGUCAGAAAACCUCAACCGAUUGAAGUGGUACAGAAGGAAGAGGCUCGAUCACAGUGCUGUUUUUUCGGCUAUAAAACAACACUGUACUAAUGCUCCAGAAAGAAAUCGCUUUUUGAAGCAUUGUUAAAAUUAGAAAUUUAUCCAUGCACAUUAUGUCAUUAUAGCAAUUCUCAGUCACCGGUAGGAAACUUGUGUCAUGCAAACAAAUGCUUUCGACGUAUUAUAUACGUUAUAUGAGUGAAUAGCCUAAUAUAAUGAACCACUGAUUGAUGUUAUAUCAUUUAACAGAUAAUUUAAGAGGAAAUGCGUUUUAGCAUUUUUUUUGUACAAUUCCUUUAGCAUAAUACCAAGCACAGAUCUUUGGACAACGGACUUUGAACAAGGCAUGUUAUAACUGUAAAUGUAUAAAAUGUCAUGGCAUACAUCUGAACAGUGCUGAGGUAUGUAGGCUUAACCCUUAAACUCCACAAAGGUUAUUGUAAUUUAUGUGUCACAUUUAUUACACUGUAAUUAUUAAAUAUAAUUUAAGGUGAAUAAUUGAUAAGAAGCAGCGUUACGCAGCUUAUGGGUGUUUAAACUCACAGAACCGUUGUGUACUUUUUAAUGCACAGUGCUUAUUUCUAAUUCAGUUCAUGGAAUAUUCUUUAUCAAAAUAUAUUGUUAAAAUGAUAUACGCUCACUGAGGACCUUUAUAAGUACAAUGUACUAACACGUAGUAGGACCUUUGCCUUCAAAGCAGCCUUGACUCUGCAUGUCAUGGAUUCCACAAGAUGAUGAAAUUUCAAUAAUUCUUUGGGAUUUUUUUUCCCAAUGAUUGCCUCAGAUAAAUCCUGCAGAUUGUUCAUGAUGUGAAUUUCUUGUUCUACCACAUUACAAAGGAUCUCUACUAAAUUUAGAUCAGCGACUGUGAAGCUCACUGAAGACAAUAAACUCAUUGUCAUGUUCAUAAAAGCAGGUUAUGAUGACUCUUGCUUUAUGACAUGGUGCAUUAUCCUGCUGGAAGUAGCCAUUGGUCAAGAUCACGCAAAGAUAACUGCAUGAACACAUGAGUGUAAAGGUGUUCCUUACGAAGUACUCAGUGAUUGUAGCUUUUAUUUGUAAUCCAAUGGGAUUCUGUUGAUUUUUUUUUAAAAAUAUAUUGCAUUUUAGCAACUAAAUAUGGCAUUGCUACUGUAUAUAAGACUAUACAUGUAAUAUAUCGUCGCUUUGUCGGGCGGAAACCUCGUAUGUCCAAAUUUUGUCAUUUUCAUAUUUUUUCACAUAUCGAUGCUAUUGGUCAGUCCCCACGUGGUUCUGUUAUUUUUACAAGUUAUUAACCAAUCUAAAGUCUUGAAAAUAGCUUGAGCGCAAAUCUCAUAACUAGAUUGGACACUUCAACUGUCCACCUCUUCCUCACUCCGCGGGAGAGCUUCGCGGCAUAUUUCUCCUCAAGAAGAGUAGCAACAAAUCAACACGUCUUCUGAGGUAAAUGUCUUCAAAACACUGGGCUCAAAGAAAAAAAAAUCUUGACCCCCACUAGUUUUGGUGGUCAUUUGAGGACAGGAAUUUAGCGCAAGACAAUCCAAUGCAACACGGACUAAACCCUGUGCAUUGCAGAUAAGGUACGGCGUUUUUUUAAUUUCCUGAAAAAUAACGGUUUUGGAGAUACGAGGAUUCCGCCUGACAGCGACGAUAUAUUUGUGUAAAGGUAUUUUUUGUACAUGCCUGUGAUUAACUGAUUGUAAAGAGUAUGAUGUAAAAUACUUGCAAGGACUGUUUUACUACAUUUCUAAACAAAUAUAUUUUAUGAAUAUAUAAAUAUAUAAAAAAAUUUGAUCACAGUGA